rnacentral:lncRNA from 1 species
CAAGGAUUUGCCAUUUGGUGUUUUCACGCUGAUGAGGUCAUAAAUGAUGAAUCACUUGUAAUUGGCUGCUGAGCCUCCGUGUGGUUUCCAAUUUGUGAUCUCAUUUAUUCUCCCACCCCCUGCCAGCAUCAUGUCUUAUGGGAGGACAUGGAGAAACUGGGAUUGGUCUCCCCAAUCUCCAGAUGGGAAAAUUGAGCCUGGAGAAACGUGAUUUAUCUAGGUCACUCUGUAGUUGAUGCCACAAUUGGGGCUUGUCCCUUCUAGCCCAGGGGUUUUUGCAGGAAUCUAGUGGUAAGUUUGGGUUUUUCAGGUUGCAAGGAGUAGAGAGCCACUGAGGUCUGCAGGAGACGUGGGGACCAUGAGAGCACAAAGGACUUCUCAGGCAGCACGGCAGUGAUGAGCUUGGGGUUUAAACUGCAGCUUUGCCAGUCUGAUAUCCCUUAAGUACCUUCUCAAUUCCCCAGUCUCUGCUUCUCUUUCCUGUGCACUCUCUGAGUCUCCUAUUUUUACCCCCCUCAGGGACAAUCUGUUAGCUAGGCAGGCAUUUUGGUUGCAAGGAGCCAGGCUCUUGGGCCACAUUAGGAUACUUCUCUGGGGGGCAUGUGGCCUAGAACUGAGAAAGGAAUACCAAGGCCACUUUCCACAUGCUCCAUUCUCCUCCACUCUCACUGCC